UAGGGAAUCUUCCGCAAUGGACGCAAGUCUGACGGAGCAACGCCGCGUGAGUGAAGAAGGAUUUCGGUUCGUAAAACUCUGUUGUUAGAGAAGAACAGCGCAUAGAGUAACUGUUAUGCGUGUGACGGUAUCUAACCAGAAAGCCACGGCUAACUACGUGCCAGCAGCCGCGGUAAUACGUAGGUGGCAAGCGUUGUCCGGAUUUAUUGGGCGUAAAGCGAGCGCAGGCGGUCAAUUAAGUCUGAUGUGAAAGCCCCCGACUCAACCGGGGAGGGUCAUUGGAAACUGGUUGACUUGUGUGCAGAAGAGGAGAGUGGAAUUCCAUGUGGAGCGGUGAAAUGCGUAGGUAUAGGGGGGAACAACAGUGGCGAAGGCGACUCUCUGAUCUGUAACUGGCGCGGAGGCUCGAAAGCGUAGGUAGCAAACAGG
rnacentral:rRNA from 1 species